rnacentral:rRNA from 1 species
CACGUAGGGCGCAAGCGUUGUCCGGAAUUAUUGGGCGUAAAGAGCUCGUAGGCGGUCUGUUACGUCUGCUGUGAAAACCCAGGGCUUAACCCUGGGCUUGCAGUGGAUACGGGCAGACUAGAGGCAGGUAGGGGAGAAUGGAAUUCCCGGUGUAGCGGUGAAAUGCGCAGAUAUCGGGAGGAACACCGGUGGCGAAGGCGGUUCUCUGGGCCGGUACUGACGCUGAGGUGCGAAAGCGUGGGGAGCAAACAGG